rnacentral:rRNA from 1 species
CAGCCGCGGUAAUUCCAGCUCCAAUAGCGUAUAUUAAAGUUGUUGCAGUUAAAAAGCUCGUAGUUGAAUUUCGGGAUCAAUAUAUCGGUCGUGCCUUGGUACGUACUGGUAUCAUUGGUUUCUCCUUUCUGACGAACCAUGAUGUCAUUAAUUUGGUGUUAUGGGAAGUUAGGACUGUUACUUUGAAAAAAUUAGAGUGUUUAAAGCAGGCUUUAGCUUGAAUACAUUAGCAUGGAAUAAUGAAAUAGGACGUUCGAACCUAUUUUGUUGGUUUCUAGGAUCAACGUAAUGAUUAAUAGGGAUAGUUGGGGGCAUUAGUAUUCAAUUGUCAGAGGUGAAAUUCUUGGAUUUAUUGAAGACUAACUACUGCGAAAGCAUUUGCCAAGGAUGUUUUCAUUAAUCAAGAACGAAAGUUAGGGGAUCGAAGACGAUCAGAUACCGUCGUAGUCUUAACCAUAAACUAUGCCGACUAGGGAUCGGAUGAUGUUAAUUUUUUAAUGACUCAUUCGGCGCCUUACG